rnacentral:rRNA from 1 species
GGGUUGUGAGGUUAAGCGACUAAGCGUACACGGUGGAUGCCCUGGCAGUCAGAGGCGAUGAAGGACGUGCUAAUCUGCGAAAAGCGCCGGCGAGGUGAUAUGAACCUUUGACCCGGCGAUGUCCGAAUGGGGAAACCCAGUGUGAUUCGUCACACUAUCGUUAACUGAAUACAUAGGUUAACGAGGCGAACCGGGGGAACUGAAACAUCUAAGUACCCCGAGGAAAAGAAAUCAACCGAGAUUCCCCCAGUAGCGGCGAGCGAACGGGGAGCAGCCCAGAGUCUGAAUCAGCUUGUGUGUUAGUGGAAGCGUCUGGAAAGUCGCACGGUACAGGGUGACAGUCCCGUACACGAAAGCACACAGGUUGUGAACUCGAAGAGUAGGGCGGGACACGUGGUAUCCUGUCUGAAUAUGGGGGGACCAUCCUCCAAGGCUAAAUACUCCUGACUGACCGAUAGUGAACCAGUACCGUGAGGGAAAGGCGA